rnacentral:lncRNA from 1 species
GGGGUUCUCUGAAAGUGCCCCUCUUCUCUCUCCUCAGGGUGAUCGGGGACUGACGGGGACCCCGGGCGAGCCUGGAGUAAAGGUGUGUAGAGCCUGUGGGGUGCUUGGGAGCAUGCAGGUCAUGCUCGGCUCUGACCUCUUCUGUUCUCCCAGGGUGAACGGGGACAUCCUGGUCCCGUGGGACCCCAGGGGCUCCCUGGGGCUGCUGGACACCCUGGAGUGGAGGGUCCUGAGGUAAGUCUGUGACUGUGGAAGGGGUCAGGGAUGAGGCUUUCCUAGGUCCCUCCCUCCCUGUUUGGGCUCACAAUGUCUCCGUGUACAGGGGCCACCAGGACCCACUGGCCGCCGAGGAGAAAAGGUAGGUUACAGGUAUCAUACUUCCUGGCAGAUGGGACACUUGGACCUUCAGUUCCUAGGUGACCCUUUGACCUGUCUCUGUCCCUGUCCUCUCUCCCUAGGGAGAACCUGGUCGCCCUGGGGAUCCUGCAGUGGGUCCUGGUGGUGCUGGAGCCAAAGGAGAAAAGGUAUGUCCGGAGGCUGUUAAAGGGUGAGGUCAAGGUCACAGGGUCUAUCUUGGGUCCGACCUAGAGAUCACAGGCUUUGGCUGAUGGCUGGGUUGUGGGAGUGCCUGGAGCCUGGUUCUAGUAUUGAUAGCCUUUGUCACCUUUAGGGAGAGGUUGGGCUCCCUGGGCCCAGAGGAGCUUCUGGAAGCAAAGGAGAGCAGGUGACUGAGGGGACAGCAUGUUGGGAGGUGGGACAGGUGCAGGCUAUACACCCCUGAAUACUGAUCAUUCCCUCUACAGGGCACACCUGGAUUGGCUCUUCCUGGAGACCCUGGCCCCAAAGGAGACCCUGGAGACAGGGUGACUAAAUUUUGGGCCAGGGGCAUGUGACAGAGGGUGGAGGGAAAGGUAUCUAGAAUUCUGACUAGCCUGUUCCCCUUCCUGCU